rnacentral:tRNA from 1 species
GAAACUAUAGUCAAUAUAUUAUAUGAUAUAUAAUUUGCACUUAUAAGGAGUUUUAAACUAGUUUCG